UACAGAGGGUGCAAGCGUUAAUCGGAAUUACUGGGCGUAAAGCGUGCGUAGACGGUUAUGUAAGUCAGAUGUGAAAGCCCAGGGCUCAACCUUGGAAUUGCAUUUGAGACUGCAUAGCUAGGGUGCGGAAGAGGGAAGCGGAAUUUCCGGUGUAGCGGUGAAAUGCGUAGAUAUACGGAAGGAACAUCUGUGGCGAGGCGACACCCUGGACCAGCACUGACACUGAGGCACGAAAGCGUGGGGAGCAAACAGG
rnacentral:rRNA from 1 species